AGCUUUGCACAGUAGAGUAUCAUAGCCGAUGGGGUUUAUCCGGGGCAUGAUUAUUGCUAAUUGAAAACAAGUGAACUGAUGGCUUUAAACUUAGAGACACUGCGCCUGAAAAGGCACCUGGCAAGCAUAUUACUUGGAAAUGCUUUAAACUA
rnacentral:snRNA from 1 species